UGAUCAACAUGGCGGCGGAUCAUCGAAAAGAAAGUUCGCCAUCAUCUAGCGACUUUGUGUUUUGUUGCAAUUGCUCUUCAAAAAUUAGAAGCACAUCCCAAUACUGCUGGAAAUGCCAGGCUGAUCAAUCAAAGAUUGGUCCACCUGACUGGAAGCCACAAACAUCUUCCAGCGAAGGAGAAUCAUCCAUAUGCAAUGCAACCUGUAGCUCCAACAAAAAGGGAUCUUUUGGAAGGCCAGUAAUCUCAGGUGAACCAAAAACUUUGUCGCUUGAAGAUUACAUGCAACGCAAGUCCAAAGAGCAAAUUUCUGGACAUACUUUUCGCCCCAA